rnacentral:rRNA from 1 species
AUCGCCGCUACCAUGCAGUCGAACGAGCGAGAGAGAGCUUGCUUUCUCAAGCGAGUGGCGAACGGGUGAGUAACGCGUGAGGAACCUGCCUCAAAGAGGGGGACAACAGUUGGAAACGACUGCUAAUACCGCAUAAGCCCACAGCUCGGCAUCGAGCAGAGGGAAAAGGAGUGAUCCGCUUUGAGAUGGCCUCGCGUCCGAUUAGCUGGUUGGUGAGGUAACGGCCCACCAAGGCGACGAUCGGUAGCCGGACUGAGAGGUUGAACGGCCACAUUGGGACUGAGACACGGCCCAGACUCCUACGGGAGGCAGCAGUGGGGAAUAUUGCACAAUGGGGGAAACCCUGAUGCAGCGACGCCGCGUGGAGGAAGAAGGUCUUCGGAUUGUAAACUCCUGUUGUUGAGGAAGAUAAUGACGGUACUCAACAAGGAAGUGACGGCUAACUACGUGCCAGCAGCCGCGGUAAAACGUAGGUCACAAGCGUUGUCCGGAAUUACUGGGUGUAAAGGGAGCGCAGGCGGGAAAGCAAGUUGGAAGUGAAAUCCAUGGGCUCAACCCAUGAACUGCUUUCAAAACUGUUUUUCUUGAGUAGUGCAGAGGUAGGCGGAAUUCCCGGUGUAGCGGUGGAAUGCGUAGAUAUCGGGAGGAACACCAGUGGCGAAGGCGGCCUACUGGGCACCAACUGACGCUGAGGCUCGAAAGUGUGGGUAGCAAACAGGAUUAGAUACCCUGGUAGUCCACACUGUAAACGAUGAUUACUAGGUGUUGGAGGAUUGACCCCUUCAGUGCCGCAGUUAACACAAUAAGUAAUCCACCUGGGGAGUACGACCGCAAGGUUGAAACUCAAAGGAAUUGACGGGGGCCCGCACAAGCAGUGGAGUAUGUGGUUUAAUUCGACGCAACGCGAAGAACCUUACCAAGUCUUGACAUCCUGCGACGGUGCUGGAAACAGUACUUUUCCU